UACGUAGGGGGCGAGCGUUGUCCGGAUUUAUUGGGCGUAAAGAGCGUGUAGGCGGCCAGGUAGGUCUGCUGUGAAAACUCGAGGCUCAACCUCGAGACGUCGGCGGAAACCAUCUGGCUAGAGUCCGGAAGAGGAGAGUGGAAUUCCUGGUGUAGCGGUGAAAUGCGCAGAUAUCGGGAAGAACACCCGUGGCGAAGGCGGCUCUCUGGGACGGUACUGACGCUGAGGUGCGAAAGCGUGGGGAGCAAACAGG
rnacentral:rRNA from 1 species